GAGAAAGAGAGAGAGAGAGAGAGGUAGGAGAAAGAGUACCGGCACUGGCUAGAAAAACAGGAGGGGAAAGAGAAGAGAAGAGAAGGGGGACCAGUAGGGGAUAGACUUAUGAAGGAGGGACGACUGGAUAGGAAUUGGUAAAUUCGCGGGAAAGAGGAGAAAAAACAAAACUCCAGAAUGAGAAGAAACCGGACUUCUCAUCAAACUCAGGCUCGCACUCUGGUCGCCUUUGAUUUUGUUUUUUCACAUGAUUUUUCAUCACUUCUCCGGUCAUCCUCUCAUUCAUCUGUCGAGCCUCUGAGACCACCUGAACUUUUUCACCGAAGAUGAUUUUUAUCAGGAAUGCCGUGGUCAACCAUAGAAGCUCCCUAGUGAGAAGAGAGCCAUGGGAAAAACCUCGAACUAGAUCCCCGGUUGUGAGGAUGUGAUCCAGUCCAUUUUGUGCAAACGUGUCAAGACGAAACAUUUCAUGUCGGACUGCAACCGCAUCGAUAAAAAACAACGGUAACCAUCCAAUAUGACGUAUUAACUGUUUCUCAUCUAUUCUAGUGUAUUUUUGUUGUAAUAGAAGAUGCUAUGUAUCUAUCAGUAGUUAAACAUUUAUUUAUAUGCAGCUUUAAUGUAAAAAGUUAAUGUCAUUGAGCUAAAAUAACAAAAUAAUUCAUAAUAAACAUGCAAGCCACGUCUUCAUAGCGGCAUAUAUACAUACGUCACCGAAACAUAUUCUUUCAUGUUACAAAAUACAAAAUACUUAAGAAGUCUUGUUGGAUUUAACCUGCGGAUGAGGCUUAUCGAACUGCAUCUGUCUGUCAGUGUGCG